rnacentral:rRNA from 1 species
GAUGAACGCUGGCGGCGUGCUUAACACAUGCAAGUCGAACGAGAAGUGAAGACGGAAACCUUCGGGCGGAAGGCUUUAUUUCGAGUGGCGGACGGGUGAGUAACGCGUGGGUAACCUGCCUCAUACAGGGGGAUAACAGUUGGAAACGACUGUUAAUAACGCAUAAGACCACAGCACCGCAUGGUGCGGGGGUAAAAACUCCGGUGGUAUGAGAUGGACCCGCGUUCGAUUAGCCAGUUGGCGGGGUAACGGCCCACCAAAGCGACGAUCGAUAGCCGAUCUGAGAGGAUGACCGGCCACAUUGGGACUGAGACACGGCCCAAACUCCUACGGGAGGCAGCAGUGGGGAAUAUUGCACAAUGGGGGAAACCCUGAUGCAGCGACGCCGCGUGAGUGAAGAAGUAUUUCGGUAUGUAAAGCUCUAUCAGCAGGGAAGAAAAUGACGGUACCUGAGUAAGAAGCCCCGGCUAACUACGUG